rnacentral:antisense_RNA from 1 species
GCCUCAUCCAAUGUUAGCACUGAUAUUUUACUAACAUUUAAAAUACCACGCUCAAUAAAAUCUAAAACUCUUCCUGGACAUCCUACAACAAUAUCAACUCCCUUCUUUAUUUCCUGAAUUUGAGGAUAUUCAGGAGAACCACCAUAUACGCUACAAACUUUAUACCUAUCCUUUCCCUUCAUUAACUCAAAUUCAUUUGAUACCUGUUGUGCUAAUUCUCUUGUUGGAAGUAAAACUAAAACUAACGGACGCCUACCAUGCUUAUUUGGAUCAAAUUUACCCUUCUUUAACAGUCUCUCAAUGACUGGAAGAACAAAUGCCAAUGUCUUACCUGUCCCAGUUUUCGCUUUCCCUAAUACAUCCUUCUUACCAUAUAUAGACUCGAAUGACUGAGCCUGAAUAGGAAAUAAUCUCUCAAUACCUCUACUCCUCAAAAUCUCCCUACUCUCAUCGCUUAAUGGGAACCUAUCUAUUGAGCCAUCUACCUCACUCUCCAACUUUCUUUUCUUAUGAUCCAUAUUGCUUUCCUUUUUCUUUGUUCUUCCUGUCAAUAAUGACAUAACCACUACUAUCCCGUCC